rnacentral:lncRNA from 1 species
GUUUAAUUAGUACCUCACAAUAUUAAUAUUAUUUUCUCCAUUUUUAAACACGUUCAAAAUAUCUUAAGAGGCGUGUAAUGCUGGUUAUAUAAAAAGUAUUUCGCACGGGCAUAAUAAUACAUUUAAAAUGUGUAAGUCGCAAGUAGCACGCCGUAAUUCAAAAAAUACCUUCUACACGUGCUCACCAGUUAUAAAAAAGGACUUUCACACGCGUAUAAUAAUACAUUUAAAACGUGUAAGUCACGUGUAGUAUACCCUAAUUCAAAAAAUGCCUUUUCACGUGUGUGCAUGAAGGCUAGUCAAUUAUAAGGCAUGGAUAAAGUGUUGGAUUUCUACCAUGCGUCUUGAGUUCGAAACUCUCAUCCCUUAAAUUAUUUAAUACUUUCAAAAUCUUCCAAAAAAAGAAAAAGAAAAAAGAGGAGCGGGUUUCAAGAGAAUUCAAAUCUUCUUUCCAUUCUAACCUCUUAUAUCAGAUAUCACUAAAUAAAAAGUUGUUAUUUAAUUUUCAUUCAAUAAAUAGAAACGUUUUCAGCUCAGCACUAAAAUUAUCUUAAAUAAUUAAACGAUUAAAUGAGUUUUUAUUAGACGGAUUCUUUACCAAAUUAAUUUUUAAGGACUGACUAAAACAUAGACAGUUCUAAUCAUCAAGUAAUGAGAAAGUAAAAGUUGAUUUAAAUAAAAAGGUUGCUAGCAUUUCUCUUAAAUAAAAUAUAUUGUAAUGUGAGAAUAACUAACGAGAUGAAAGUAACA